AAGAUUGCAUUGUCUAAUAAUGUCAAAUUAAAUGAUAUUCAAUGGAACUAUAGUAAUAAUGAUCUAGCUUUUUGUGGUGAUAACUCCUUGCUUAAAGUAAUAAAACUAAAUAAGGACUUUGAUUAUACUGAGAACAGUGAAAAUUUAAUAGAGUUUAAUCAAAAUUUAAUAGGACAUAAGGAAAAUGUAUUAAAUAUUACUUGGAAUGUGCCGCACCAUAAGUUGACUAGCUGUGAUUCAUCAGGAUUAAUUAUAAUAUGGGGGUUUAAAGAGGGCAAAUGGCAAAGAGAACUUGAAAAUAAUCGAAAUGAAUCCAAUAUUGUAUCUUUGAAAUGGAACAAUGAGGGAGAUAAAAUAUUUAUAGCCUACCAAGAUGGGACAUUUCUUGUUGGAAAUAUAACUGGUUCUAGGCUAUGGCUUAAGAAUUAUCCACACAUUAAACCAAUUUAUUUUACCUGGUCCCCAGAUUCUAAAUAUUUCUUGUUAGCUGAUGCAUAUG